rnacentral:rRNA from 1 species
AGCGGCGGAUGGGUGAGUAACACGUGGGGAACCUGCCCCUAAGUCUGGGAUACCAUUUGGAAACAGGUGCUAAUACCGGAUAAUAAAGCAGAUCGCAUGAUCAGCAUUUGAAAGGCGGCGUAAGCUGUCGCUAAGGGAUGGCCCCGCGGUGCAUUAGCUAGUUGGUAAGGUAACGGCUUACCAAGGCGACGAUGCAUAGCCGAGUUGAGAGACUGAUCGGCCACAUUGGGACUGAGACACGGCCCAAACUCCUACGGGAGGCAGCAGUAGGGAAUCUUCCACAAUGGACGCAAGUCUGAUGGAGCAACGCCGCGUGAGUGAAGAAGGUUUUCGGAUCGUAAAGCUCUGUUGUUGGUGAAGAAGGAUAGAGGUAGUAACUGGCCUUUAUAUGACGGUAAUCAACCAGAAAGUCACGGCUAACUACGUGCCAGCAGCCGCGGUAAUACGUAGGUGGCAAGCGUUGUCCGGAUUUAUUGGGCGUAAAGCGAGCGCAGGCGGAAAAAUAAGUCUAAUGUGAAAGCCCUCGGCUUAACCGAGGAACUGCAUCGGAAACUGUUUUUCUUGAGUGCAGAAGAGGAGAGUGGAACUCCAUGUGUAGCGGUGGAAUGCGUAGAUAUAUGGAAGAACACCAGUGGCGAAGGCGGCUCUCUGGUCUGCAACUGACGCUGAGGCUCGAAAGCAUGGGUAGCGAACAGGAUUAGAUACCCUGGUAGUCCAUGCCGUAAACGAUGAGUGCUAAGUGU